rnacentral:rRNA from 1 species
GACGAACGCUGGCGGCGUGCCUAAUACAUGCAAGUCGAACGCAGUGGGGACGGGUGAGGAACAAGUGGGUAACCGCCCAUAUAAGGGGGUAACACUUGGCAACAGGUGCUUACCUGAUACUGAUGGAUGGACCCGGGGUGCAUUAGCUAGUGGGUGGGGAAACGGCUAACCAAGGCGACGAUGCAUAGCCGGCCUGAGAGGGUGAUCGGCCAAACUGGAACUGAGACACGGCCCAGACUCCUACGGGAGGCAGCAGUAGGGAAUCUUCGGCAAUGGACGAAAGUCUGACCGAGCAACGCCGCGUGAGUGAAGAAGGUUUUCGGGUCGUAAAACUCUGUUGUUAGAGAAGCGGUAUCUAACCAGAAAGCCACGGCUAACUACGUGCCAGCCACCGCGGUAAUAC